rnacentral:lncRNA from 1 species
UGACCAGUGUGACCAGUUUGGCUACUGAAAUGGGCUCUGGGGCCUCCAAAACUUCUGGGGCCAUCAGCUUGACCAGUUUGGCCACUGAAACCGGUUUGGCUACUGAAAUCGGCUCUGGGGCUUCCAAAACUUCUGGGGUCAUCAGCUUGACCAGUGUGACCAGUGUGACCAGUUUGGCCACUGAAACCGGUCUGGCUACUGAAAUGACCCCUGGGACCUCCUGGGCCACCAGUGUGACCAGUUUGGCUACUGAAACCGGCUCUGGGGCCUCCAAAACUUCUGGGGUCACCACCUUGACCAGUUUGGCCACUGAAACCAGUGUGACCAGUUUGGCCACUGAAGUCACCCCUGGGACCUCCAGGGCCACCAGUGUGACCAGUUUGGCCACUGAAACCGGUUUGGCCACUGAAAUGACCCCUGGGACCUCCUGGGCCACCAGUGUGACCAGUUUGGCCACCAGGACCUCUGGGGUCCCCAGUAAAACCAGUGGGACCGGCCCAUGAGGUCCCCGAGGUGCCACCAGUGGUCCUGAAGGUGCCACCAGAGGUCCCCGAGGUGUCCCUGAAGGUCCUCGAGAUGCCACCACCAGUCCCUGAGGUGUCCCCGAAGGUCCCCAAGGUGUCCCCAAAGGUCUCCAAGGUGCCACCACCGGUCCCCGAGGUGCCACCACUGCUCCUGAAGGUCUCAGCUCCAGUCCCCAAGGUGUCCCUGAAGGUCCCUGAGGUGUCCCCAAAGGUCCCCGAGAUGCCACCGUUGGUGUCCAAGGUAUCCACGAAGCCCCCCGAGAUGCCACCACUGGUCCCCGAGGUGCCACCACUGCUCCUGAAGGUCUCAGCUCCGGUCCCCGAGGUGUCCCCGAAGGUCCCCGAGGUGCCACCACCGGUCCUGAAGGUCUCAGUUCCCAUCCCAAAGCUAUCC